CAGAACAACGAGUGUCCACCUUAACAACUGUGUUUAUCGGGUAUAUGCUACAUAAUAUAAGUAAAACUUGAUGAUACACUUAGUGGAAUGGAAUCUGGAGUUGAUGAAGCUAUGAGAAAGAAAUAUAUAUUUGUACAAACCAAAUAAAUUUACAAAAUGUUGUUAGAAUAAACCUUAAGACAACUUU